GGUGUCGCUCAGUGGUAGAGCACGUGCUUAGCAGGCAUGAGGUCGUGGGUUCAAUCCCCACCCAGUACCG
rnacentral:tRNA from 1 species